GAGCGCUUAGGUCGUUUCAUUUCCCCUCGUGAUUUGAACGACUCGCCUUUUUUUCCUGCGAACAUUAUGGAAUGCCGAGAUCUGCUCCAGUUAAUAACCCAGCCAAAUUUUAUAGACCUCGCACAGGAAUGCGAUGACCAAGCAGGUCCGAGCAGCUCUAACAAUACACGAAAUCCGGCACGCAGCCCCUUGAGAAAGAAAAGAGCGAUCGGACUCCGGCACCAAGAGAAGAAGAAGAAUCACACAACAGUAAGUGUGUUUUUUUCUUUCUA
rnacentral:lncRNA from 1 species